UACAGAAGCCUCGAGCGUUGUUCGGAAUUACUGGGCGUAAAGGGAAUGUAGGCGGUGACGUAAGUCAGAUGUGAAAGCCCCGGGCUUAACCUGGGAAGUGCAUUUGAUACUGCGUUGCUAGAGUGUGUGAGAGGAAAGCGGAAUUCCCAGUGUAGGGGUGAAAUCCGUAGAUAUUGGGAGGAAUACCGAUGGCGUAGGCAGCUUUCUGGCACAUAACUGACGCUGAGAUUCGAAAGCAUGGGGAGCAAACAGG
rnacentral:rRNA from 1 species